AGAGUUUGAUCCUGGCUCAGGACGAACGCUGGCGGCGUGCCUAACACAUGCAAGUCAAGGAGAAAGACUGGUUUCGGCCGGUCAAGUAAACUGGCGGACGGGUGAGUAACGCGUAAGUGAUCUACCCCUGUAUCAGGAAUAACUAUGGGAAACUGUAGCUAAUACCGGAUACGUUCAUGUGAUUGCGAUCAUGUGAAGAAAGAUGGCCUCUGACAUAAGCUAUCNUACAGGGAGGAGCUUGCGUACCAUUAGCUAGUUGGCAGGGUAAAGGCCUACCAAGGCGACANUGGUUAGCGNGGUCUGAGAGGAUGAUCCGCCACACUGGAACUGAAACACGGUCCAGACUCCUACGGGAGGCAGCAGUGAGGAAUUUUGCGCAAUGGGGGAAACCCUGACGCAGCAACGCCGCGUGAGUGAAGAAGGCUUUCGGGUCGUAAAGCUCUGUCAGAUAGGAAAAAAGUUCAUUAGUUAAUAGCUUAUGAAUCUGAUGGUACUAUCAGAGGAAGCACCGGCUAACUCCGUGCCAGCAGCCGCGGUAAUACGGAGGGUGCAAGCGUUGUUCGGAAUUACUGGGCGUAAAGCGCGUGUAGGCGGUAUGAUAAGUCAGAUGUGAAAGCCCUGGGCUUAACCCAGGAAGUGCAUUUGAUACUGUCAUUCUUGAGUAUGGGAGAGGAGAGUGGAAUUCCCAGUGUAGAGGUGAAAUUCGUAGAUAUUGGGAGGAACAUCCGUGGCGAAGGCGACUCUCUGGACCAAUACUGACGCUGAGACGCGAAAGCGUGGGUAGCAAACAGGAUUAGAUACCCUGGUAGUC
rnacentral:rRNA from 1 species